GACGAACGCUGGCGGCGUGCUUAACACAUGCAAGUCGAACGCUGAAGCUCAGCUUGCUGGGUGGAUGAGUGGCGAACGGGUGAGUAACACGUGAGUAACCUGCCCCCUUCUUUGGGAUAACGCCCGGAAACGGGUGCUAAUACUGGAUAUUCACUGAUCUUCGCAUGGGGGUUGGUGGAAAGGUUUGUUCUGGUGGGGGAUGGGCUCGCGGCCUAUCAGCUUGUUGGUGGGGUGAUGGCCUACCAAGGCUUUGACGGGUAGCCGGCCUGAGAGGGUGACCGGUCACAUUGGGACUGAGAUACGGCCCAGACUCCUACGGGAGGCAGCAGUGGGGAAUAUUGCACAAUGGGCGCAAGCCUGAUGCAGCGACGCCGCGUGAGGGAUGGAGGCCUUCGGGUUGUAAACCUCUUUCGCUCAUGGUCAAGCCGCAACAGUGGUUGUGGUGAGGGUAGUGGGUAAAGAAGCGCCGGCUAACUACCUGCCACCACCCGCGGUAAUACGUAGGGCGCGAGCGUUGUCCCGGAAUUAUUGGGCGUAAAGGGGCUUGUACGCGGUUGGUCCCGUCUGCCGUGAAAUU
rnacentral:rRNA from 1 species